CAAGAAGCCGAAAGGCUACUUAAAACCAUCGCGAACUUAUCCAAGUUGCUUCGGCGGCGCGGCUCCCCUCACGGGGGACCGCAGCCCCGCCUCUCAGGAGGUAAGGGGCAGCCGCCGGAGGUACGAAACUCUGUAUUAUAGUGGUAUCUCUGAGUAUAAAACAAAUAAGUUA
rnacentral:misc_RNA from 1 species